UAGUAAGACCCCUUGAAGACGACGAGGUUGAUAGGCUGGGGGUGGAAGUGCAGCAAUGCAUGGAGCUGACCAGUACUAAUCGGUCGAGGGCUUAUCCAA
rnacentral:rRNA from 1 species